GACGAACGCUGGCGGCGUGCCUAAUACAUGCAAGUCGAACGAAGCUUUUUUAACUGGUGCUUGCACCGACUUAAACAACUGAGUGGCGAACGGGUGAGUAACACGUGGGUAACCUGCCCCAAAGCGGGGGAUAACAUUUGGAAACAGAUGCUAAUACCGCAUAACCACAGAAACCACAUGGUUUCUGCGUCAAAGCUGGUUUCGUCUAUCACUUUGGGGCGGACCCGUGGCGUAUUAGCUAGUUGGUAAGGUAAUGGCUUACCAAGGGAAUGAUACGUAGCCGAACUGAGAGGUUGAUCGGCCACAUGGGGACUGAGACACGGCCCAAACUCCUACGGGAGGCAGCAGUAGGGAAUCUUCCACAAUGGACGAAAGUCUGAUGGAGCAACGCCGCGUGAGUGAAGAAGGUUUUCGGAUCGUAAAACUCUGUUGUCAGAGAAGAACGUGUGCGAGAGUAACUGUUCGUGCAGUGACGGUAUCUGGCCAGAAAGCCACGGCUAACUACGUGCCAGCAGCCGCCGUAA
rnacentral:rRNA from 1 species